UUCCGGUUGAUCCUGCCGGACCCCACUGCUAUCGGGGUGGGACUAAAACAUGCAAGUCGAGCGCCUCCAAGCUAUGGUGAAGGCGCGGCAAACGGCUCAGUAACACGUGGCCAACCUACCCUUGGGACGGAGACAACCCCGGGAAACUGGGGCUAAUCCCCGAUAGGUGAGGAAUCCUGGAAUGGACCCUCGCCCAAAAGACGUUGAGUCCAUGCUAUUCAGCGUCGCCCAAGGAUGGAGCCGCGACCGAUCAGGUAGUUGGUGAGGCAACGGCUCACCAAGCCUAUAACCGGUACGGGCCGUGAGAGCGGGAGCCCGGAGAUGGGCACUGAGCCAAGGGCCCAGGCCCUACGGGGCGCAGCGGUUGCGAAAACUCCGCAAUGCGCGAAAGCGUGACGGGGCUACCCCGAGUGCCGCCCGUUGAGGGCGGCUUUUCCACGGUGUAAGGAGCCGUGGGAAUAAGGAGAGGGCAAGACUGGUGUCAGCCGCCGCGGUAAUACCAGCUCUCCGAGUGGUGGGGACGAUUAUUGGGCUUAAAGCGUUCGUAGCCGGCUUAACAAGUCUUCCGUUAAAUCCAACGAUCUAAUCGUUGGGCUGCGGGAGAUACUGUUGGGCUAGGAGGCGGGAGAAGCCGACGGUAUUCUCGGGGUAGGGGUGAAAUCCUGUAAUCCCGGGAGGACCACCAGUGGCGAAGGCGGUCGGCUAGAACGCGCUCGACGGUGAGGGACGAAAGCUGGGGGAGCGAACCGGAUUAGAAACCCGGGUAGUCCCAGCUGUAAACGAUGCGGGCUAGGUGUUGGGGUGGCCACGAGCCACUUCAGCGCCGCAUGGAAGCAAUUAAGCCCGCCGCCUGGGGAGUACGGCCGCAAGGCUGAAACUUAAGGAUGGCGGGGAGCACACAAGGCGUGAGCUGCGGUUAUGGACUCACGCCGGU
rnacentral:rRNA from 1 species